rnacentral:rRNA from 1 species
UACGGAGGGAGCUAGCGUUGUUCGGAAUUACUGGGCGUAAAGCGCGCGUAGGCGGCUUUGUAAGUUAGAGGUGAAAGCCCGGGGCUCAACUCCGGAACUGCCUUUAAGACUGCAUCGCUUGAAUCCGGGAGAGGUGAGUGGAAUUCCGAGUGUAGAGGUGAAAUUCGUAGAUAUUCGGAAGAACACCAGUGGCGAAGGCGGCUCACUGGCCCGAUACUGACGCUGAUGCGCGAAAGCGUGGGGAGCAAACAGG